AGUGAACGCUGGCGGUAGGCCUAACACAUGCAAGUCGAACGGCAGCACAGUAAGAGCUUGCUCUUACGGGUGGCGAGUGGCGGACGGGUGAGGAAUACAUCGGAAUCUACUUUUUCGUGGGGGAUAACGUAGGGAAACUUACGCUAAUACCGCAUACGACCUACGGGUGAAAGCAGGGGAUCUUCGGACCUUGCGCGAUUGAAUGAGCCGAUGUCGGAUUAGCUAGUUGGCGGGGUAAAGGCCCACCAAGGCGACGAUCCGUAGCUGGUCUGAGAGGAUGAUCAGCCACACUGGAACUGAGACACGGUCCAGACUCCUACGGGAGGCAGCAGUGGGGAAUAUUGGACAAUGGGCGCAAGCCUGAUCCAGCCAUACCGCGUGGGUGAAGAAGGCCUUCGGGUUGUAAAGCCCUUUUGCUGGGGAAGAAAAGCAGCAGGUUAAUACCCCGCUGUUCUGACGGUACCCAAAGAAUAAGCACCGGCUAACUUCGUG
rnacentral:rRNA from 1 species